GGGAAAUAUAGAGUAGCAUAUUCUCCUCUCUCACAUAUAGUGAGUUCGUACUUAGAUAUAAAGUUACUAUCUGGAAAUGCUCCGGUUUUAGCUGCUGGUAGUUUAGGCAUCACGUCUGGUAUUUGGCCCUCAAAAAACGGUGACUCAACUUCAGGAUGUCCCACUUCCUCCUGACACUGCUGAUUCCGUGUCGCUGCUCUGAGCCACGCAUCAACAAGCCGCCACUCGUUGUGCACUGGCAGAUUAAACCAGCGGGAGAAGGACAAAAAAGUGCCCUUUAUCAGCCACUUCCAAGUCUGACGUGUGAUGACGUGUUAUCACUUGGCCCGUGUGAUUGAUUAACUAAACGUGCACACCUGAAGGAUAAACGGGCGCCUUCGUCCAGGCAACAAAGAACCAGACCUCGCCACCCACGUGCGUUAUCCCUCAAGCGGCUGUAACUCCGUGAACUGACCUUGGGCCCCCGAAGGGCGACCAACGCACAUAAAUCAAACGCUCCCUGUUGAAUUGGCAGCAGGCUUUCCGUCAGGUGUGCGGCCGCCUAUUGGCUCGUAUUGACCUACAGGUUAACAAUGAGGAGGGCUGACAGAAGCAGGGAACGCAAUCAAUCACAGCGCUGUCACUGAAUCAGCUGUGGAGAAUUACCAGCGUGUGACAGCAGCUGAGCCACUUACUGCGGCCUCGGCUGCUGAUGGAGGAAGAGGAAACACUCAAAGUGACGUCAGCGGGAGCACCGCUAGAACAGACCGAGUGCUUGAAAGCUGAAAAACUGCGAUCCUCAGGAGACAGACAGCACAGUAAUAUUGCCAGUGACUAUCAUUUUUCUUGAAAUACUCCAAUAGCCACUUACUCAUUUUUAAUAUCCAACUGAACAUUUCCCACAAGUUUAAGUCUGCUAUCGGCAACAUGAGAUAAACAAGAGAUUAAGAAACAUUAACACGAGAUAUAAAAGCAGUGGUAAGAGACUUCAUGCGCCCUUAUUUUGGAGGGUAAUCAAUGAGCUGCCCUGCCAGAUGUGUGCAAAAAAACCUUCUUUCUCAAUAGUUUGACUGAUCCUCCCUGCUCCACGCCAGCUGGAAGAGAUUGAGAACUUAAACCAGGGCGGUACUACAGUCAAAGCAUGAAUAUGAAUUAGCAAACAACAAUUUUCUUAACCAAUGAACAAAAGUUGGCACAUUUUGAAUGUGGGGAAGCAGCGUAGAGAUGGCGUAUACGUCUCUGGUAGCAGCAGAAACCUCAGUCACAGUGAUUUCAGUCAUUUAUUCAAUGAACAUCAUGUCGUAUUGAAUAAGAAUGGAAAGUAAAGAUUGAGACAAUAAACUCAUGUUUAAAUAGUUUACUGGGGGAAUAAACUUCCUCAUAGAACUCUAUACGAGCAGAUGUUCUCCCCCUGCUGGUCAGUACAGAGAAUGAUCAUAUCUCACUCGGACAUGGCAGCCUUUAUGUACACUGCUCUCAUAUAUACAGUCCGGAUUAUGGGAGAAAUGUUUCUUAAAUAUUGCUAUGCAAGUUUCCUACAUGAAUGGAAUAAAAUGACAGAUCCGCUUGGUAGUUACAUUUCCAACAUAACACGAACCUUAAUGUUGAUAUAGCACGCUGAUUAACGGGAAAACAAGAAGGAAAAAGACACUUCAAAUGAAAAAAGACUCCCUUUCAUAACAGCUAAUGUUGACGAUAUCUUUGAGAGAAAUGACCAACUGUACAGCGAGGGAGAGAAGUCAUGCGCCAGAUGGAACUGCUCAACGAAGUGCCGCCGCCGUACGGACACGUUUCUGGUGUCUACUGAUGCCGUUUCACUUUAAAACGACUAUCCAAAUGACCGCGGACCGACAGACCGCGAGGAGACCCGUCGUCUUACCCGAGGCUGCGCUCCGCUGCUCGCUGUCCGCUCACGAGCCGUGCUGUGCUGUGCUGUGCCGUGCUGUUCUGUUCUGUGCUGAGCUGCUGCAGCGUGUCGCCUCGCGCGGCAGGGCAGCCUCUCGAGCUCCGCGCGCGCGACGACAGUACGAGCACGCGCUCCGGCUGAAGGGAGGGGGCGGGGGGGCAUGCGCGAGGGGCUUCAACUCACCUGUUGCUGACGUCACCACGACGCUUCUCUCCCUCUCUGGUGAUUUAAAUCAAAACAUUGUGUACAAUUCGAAGAAAAGAAAUAUGUGAAUGUUGUGGACUUCCCAAUUUUGGAACAUAAAGCAACGGAAAUAGAGCCUGAUAUGUAACUGAUUCAUUGAGUAUUUUACUAAUAUCACUU
ensembl:lncRNA